UCCAUUUUUCUUUUCAUUUUCUUUUAUUUAUUUUUCCGCUCAUUUUCUUUUCGUCAUUUUUCUCUUUCAUUUUCUUGGUAAUUUGGAGAAAAAGUUAGAGCAAACAAAGGGUAUAACUUCAAAGAAAUUUGAGAAAACUUGGGGAACUCAAAAUCAACCAUCAGUUGCUUCAUAAAUCCAGCAAAAGGGGUUUUUCUUAAAUCUUGUUGUCUCUCCAUUAUUUUCCAUCAUUUGUGAUAUAUUUGAUAAAUAUUCUUCUUUCAUAUCAUAUAUUUAACAUGGGCUAAAUUUUGUUGCUGGGAUUUAUGGUUGAAACUUAUCGUAGCUUGG
rnacentral:lncRNA from 1 species